UACAGAGGUGCCAAGCGUUAGGCGGAAUCACUGGGCGUAAAGCGUGCGCAGGCGGUUCGCAAAGUCUGAUGUGAAAGCCCCGGGCUCAACCUGGGAACUGCAUUGGAAACUAACGGGCUCGAGUGUGGCAGAGGGGGGUGGAAUUCCACGUGUAGCAGUGAAAUGCGUAGAGAUGUGGAGGAACACCGAUGGCGAAGGCAGCCCCCUGGGCUAACACUGACGCUCAGGCACGAAAGCGUGGGGAGCAAACAGG
rnacentral:rRNA from 1 species